AACGAACGCUGGCGGCAUGCCUAACACAUGCAAGUCGAACGAGACCUUCGGGUCUAGUGGCGCACGGGUGCGUAACGCGUGGGAACCUGCCCUUAGGUUCGGAAUAACUCCCCGAAAGGGGUGCUAAUACCGGAUAAUGUCUUCGGACCAAAGAUUUAUCGCCUUUGGAUGGGCCCGCGUUGGAUUAGCUAGUUGGUAGGGUAAAAGCCUACCAAGGCGACGAUCCAUAGCUGGUCUGAGAGGAUGAUCAGCCACACUGGGACUGAGACACGGCCCAGACUCAUACGGGAGGCAGCAGUAGGGAAUAUUGGACAAUGGGCGAAAGCCUGAUCCAGCAAUGCCGCGUGAGUGAUGAAGGCCUUAGGGUUGUAAAGCUCUUUUACCCGGGAUGAUAAUGACAGUACCGGGAGAAUAAGCUCCGGCUAACUCCGUG
rnacentral:rRNA from 1 species